UGUUAGCGGCGGACGGGUGAGUAACACGUGGGUAACCUGCCUGUAAGACUGGGAUAACUCCGGGAAACCGGAGCUAAUACCGGAUAGUUCCUUGAACCGCAUGGUUCAAGGAUGAAAGACGGUUUCGGCUGUCACUUACAGAUGGACCCGCGGCGCAUUAGCUAGUUGGUGAGGUAACGGCUCACCAAGGCGACGAUGCGUAGCCGACCUGAGAGGGUGAUCGGCCACACUGGGACUGAGACACGGCCCAGACUCCUACGGGAGGCAGCAGUAGGGAAUCUUCCGCAAUGGACGAAAGUCUGACGGAGCAACGCCGCGUGAGUGAUGAAGGUUUUCGGAUCGUAAAGCUCUGUUGUUAGGGAAGAACAAGUGCAAGAGUAACUGCUUGCACCUUGACGGUACCUAACCAGAAAGCCACGGCUAACUACGUGCCAGCAGCCGCGGUAAUACGUAGGUGGCAAGCGUUGUCCGGAAUUAUUGGGCGUAAAGGGCUCGCAGGCGGUUUCUUAAGUCUGAUGUGAAAGCCCCCGGCUCAACCGGGGAGGGUCAUUGGA
rnacentral:rRNA from 1 species